rnacentral:rRNA from 1 species
GUGUCAGCAGCCGCGGUAAUACGGAGGGUGCGAGCGUUGUUCGGAAUUACUGGGCGUAAAGCGCGUGUAGGCGGCCUUGCAAGUCAGGCGUGAAAGCCCUCGGCUUAACCGGGGAAGUGCGUCUGAAACUGCUUGGCUUGAGUACGGGAGAGGGAGGCGGAAUUCCCAGUGUAGAGGUGAAAUUCGUAGAUAUUGGGAGGAACACCGGUGGCGAAAGCGGCCUCCUGGACCGAUACUGACGCUGAGACGCGAAAGCGUGGGGAGCAAACAGGAUUAGAAACCCGAGUAGUCC